UUAAUUGAAACCAAAAUAGAGGUAAAUCACUGUUAAUGAUUUAAAUGAGACUUAGUCUCCAAUUAAA
rnacentral:tRNA from 1 species